rnacentral:misc_RNA from 1 species
GGGAUUUGAGCAUCCUUCUGAAGGCAAACCAUUGACCCUCUUUUCUCUUUUUAUAUUGUUGAAAAAACGUGCAUCAUUUUGUGCACGGAUACUGUCAUAUCUUGUAUGGUUUUACAUUUUUUUUUCCUGAGACACAUAUGGGCUAUGGCAUUUGGGUUGGGUGGCAUGCUUAGCUUGUGAGCUAUUUCAUGUUAUGUUUGAGACCUAUAAUAUUCUGGAUUCCUGUGAUUGCAUGCCUCAAUGAAAAUAUUUUGAAGUGAUGGUCUUGUGGACAUAAUUUUGCUUGAAAAUGCAUGCUUGAUAUCAUUUCUUGGUUAUUACUGUUAGCUAAUCAUUCAUUUUUUAACCCCUU